GCAGCCGCCACGGUAAUACGAAGGGUGCAAGCGUUACUCGGAAUUACUGGGCGUAAAGCGUGCGUAGGUGGUGGUUUAAGUCCGUUGUGAAAGCCCUGGGCUCAACCUGGGAAUUGCAGUGGAUACUGGGUCACUAGAGUGUGGUAGAGGAUAGUGGAAUUUCCGGUGUAGCAGUGAAAUGCGUAGAGAUCGGAAGGAACAUCUGUGGCGAAGGCGACUAUCUGGGCCAACACUGACACUGAGGCACGAAAGCGUGGGGAGCAAACAGGAUUAGAUACCCCUGUAGUCCCUGUCUCUUAUAC
rnacentral:rRNA from 1 species